UUAGGUACUUACUGUACGAGAUUGAUGUUAUUUAUGUUUGCAGAUUUGCAGACUAACCUAACCAAAACGACUAGGACCCUAUCUGUAUAUGCGUAAUCUAUACGAGUAAAUCCAAAACUUGUCAACUAUACAUUAUAAGUACCAAAAGGGCAAACUAUAUCGAUAUUAACCCAUGCAAUUAUUGUCUACCUCUUGAAUUAUGCGAUAUCGUGAGAUAUACGUUGUGUACGCAAUCACUACCGACACGGUAAAUGUUUUGAAAUCGGUAACAAAUCGUUUCUAUAAGUAUAUCAUCGCGUCUAAUGCAUGACGCAAACGAAUAUUUCAUGGGUCAAUCAGUACGAUUUGUUCUUUUAUAGUACCCAUUAUAAUAUAUUUAUACGGAUACCGACUUCGUAUGAUGGUUCAUGGGACUCUUCGUUCAGUUCUAAAGCCAUCUAGUCGUUUUAUGGUACAUGUGUGUUUUAAUUCCGCGACAUGGUUGUAUUUUGUCCCGUGUCUCGGCGUGAAUAUAUCGCAUAACAUUAUCGUUAGGUCCGUAGGUGAUGUGCGCAUUAUAAAUACACUGUUCGUUAAAUAGUACAUAAAUUAUGUUUAAUUUGCUCACAGGCCAUUAGGAUAGUAUAA